GAUGAACGCUGGCGGCGUGCCUAAUACAUGCAAGUCGAGCGAACAGAUAAGGAGCUUGCUCCUUUGACGUUAGCGGCGGACGGGUGAGUAACACGUGGGUAACCUACCUAUAAGACUGGGAUAACUUCGGGAAACCGGAGCUAAUACCGGAUAACAUUUGGAACCGCAUGGUUCUAAAGUGAAAGAUGGUUUUGCUAUCACUUAUAGAUGGACCCGCGCCGUAUUAGCUAGUUGGGAAGGUAACGGCUUACCUAGGCGACGAUACGUAGCCGCCCUGAGAGGGUGAUCGGCCAGACUGGAACUGAGAAACGGACCAGACUCCUACGGGAGGCAGCAGUAGGGAAUCAUCCGCAAUGGGCGAAAGCCUGACGGAGCAACGCCGCGUGAGUGAUGAAGGGUUUCGGCUCGUAAAACUCUGUUAUUAGGGAAGAACAAACGUGUAAGUAACUGUGCACGUCUUGACGGUACCUAAUCAGAAAGCCACGGCUAACUACGUGCCAGCAGCCGCCGUAA
rnacentral:rRNA from 1 species